AACGAACGCUGGCGGCAGGCCUAACACAUGCAAGUCGAGCGCGCCUUCGGGUGAGCGGCGGACGGGUUAGUAACGCGUGGGAACGUGCCCUUCUCUACGGAAUAGCCUCUGGAAACGGAGAGUAAUACCGUAUACGCCCUUUGGGGGAAAGAUUUAUCGGAGAAGGAUCGGCCCGCGUUAGAUUAGGUAGUUGGUGGGGUAACGGCCUACCAAGCCUACGAUCUAUAGCUGGUUUUAGAGGAUGAUCAGCAACACUGGGACUGAGACACGGCCCAGACUCCUACGGGAGGCAGCAGUGGGGAAUCUUAGACAAUGGGGGCAACCCUGAUCUAGCCAUGCCGCGUGAGUGAUGAAGGCCUUAGGGUCGUAAAGCUCUUUCGCCAGAGAUGAUAAUGACAGUAUCUGGUAAAGAAACCCCGGCUAACUCCGUG
rnacentral:rRNA from 1 species